rnacentral:rRNA from 1 species
UGAGGAAUAUUGGGCAAUGGACGCAAGUCUGAACCAGCCAUGCCGCGUGAAGGAAGACGGCCCUACGGGUUGUAAACUUCUUUUGUACGGGAAAAAAUCUCCGGUCGUGAAUCGGAGCUGAUGGUACCGUAAGAAUAAGCAUCGGCUAACUCCGUGCCAGCAGCCGCGGUAAUACGGAGGAUGCAAGCGUUAUCCGGAUUCAUUGGGUUUAAAGGGUGCGCAGGCGGAAUGAUAAGUCAGUGGUGAAAUCCUACGGCUCAACUGUAUAACUGCCAUUGAUACUGUCGUUCUGGAGUACACUUGGAGUGGGCGGAAUGUGUCAUGUAGCGGUGAAAUGCUUAGAUAUGACACAGAACACCGAUCGCGAAGGCAGCUAGCUAAGCUAUAACUGACGCUCAUGCACGAAAGCGUGGGGAUCAAACA